GCCUGUGUUCUUUCCUCUUUGAGAGACUGUGUGUAUGUGAAGAUGCACACAAAUCCUUCUUUUUUGAUCUUCAGAUCUGAAAAUAGCUGCUGUGGUCCUUCUGCAGAUGGAACUACCGUUCUCUAGCUUUGAGCUGACCUUCAUCAUCUUUGCCUUCAUCAUUGUCUCCCUCUUCAGCCUCGCUUCAGUCUGUAUCCAACCACAUGAAGACGUGCCAGAAAAAGAUCCCUGUGAAGAAAACAAGAAGAAGAACAAGAAGCAGAGUCUCAUCACCAAUCUAGCUGGAGAGGAAGCAUAAAGUAAUGCUUUAUCUGCUGUGUUUUCAUUGUACUGUCAAGAUCUCACAAAUGAGAUGACGCAAAAUGAUAUUUAAAUGUAUAAGACUGAAUUAGAGCAUGUCAUUAUGGCAUGUAAUGUUGAAGUAAAGUCUAUAACAUUGAGGGCGCUUCACUUGCAUCUCACCCUCAUAUCUUAGUCCCUCCCAUUUAAGAAGUGAGAAACGCAAUUACAUGGUGUGAGGAGAGAAAAAUGAAGAAAACCUACGCUAGUGAAAUGAGACAUCCUUUGCUCCAUCACUUUCUGCUGACAAUGGCACAGCUGGAUCAGCUGUCAGUCUGCAGGGCGAAGGGAUCUGUAUGCCUUUGAGUUUGUAUUUGCACAGAUAAUGCAAUGUACUGUCCUAAUAAUAAUGACUACUGUGUAGUGAUGCCCUCCAAAAUGACUAAAGUGAAUGUGAAAUGUUUCCCCAAUUUGACAAGCAUCUGUGCAUUCAUUACAAACCUGAAUUCCAUAUUUAGUGUAAACUGUGAACAGAUUCAUCAGACCAGUUUGUAGAGGUACUGCAUCAAAACUGAAAGCACAUAAGCCAUGAUGUCUAUUUAUUGUUAUUUGUUGCAUUUAUUGAUAUUCUAUUUGUAAAUUCACUAUAGAACAAUCCAGGUUAUGAUGAGAAUGUCUCCUAAGUUUUAGUAAAGGCGGAAAUUAAGUGAAUAGGUCUUGUCAAAAUGUUCAUUCUACCUGACGCACAGGGAUUUCCACCUGGUAGAAAUUGAUGAUGAUGAUGAUAAUGGUUGAUAUUUUUAUUGCUGAAAGAGAGGAGACCUGCUCUGUCUGACUAUAACAUGAUCCAUGAUUCAGGUUAAAAUGAAAAAAGGACCAUAAAAAUAAUAUUUCUCACAAAUCAUGAAAGUUGAAUGAAAUGAUGUGUGAAGUUAGAACAAAUAAUGUUAAAUAAAUGGUUAAA